CAAAAUGAAAAAGUCAACCUGAAUGAGUCGAGCACACAACAUACUUUCAUGACAUAAAAAAUGGAAGAGUCCUGUGUCCCAGUCGGAGACCUUGUACAAUCCUUAGAAGAGGUAAGCGGCUGCUCGCUAUAUGUUGGCAGAGGAGCGGAGAACGUGGAAUCGUUUCAGAGUCAUACGGAUGGAUCCCAGAUCACGGUUCACUUGUUCCAAGCGGUUCUCUAAUGACGCCUAAAGACCACGAAACAUUUUAAUAAACAUGGCCACAAAGGUAAUAUCUCAUAAAUAAAACAAACAGCAAAGUGAACAGCUGAGUGCAGAAGUUUGCAUCCCUCAAUGGUGACGCAUUUAUUCUGCAGAGCUGGAAAAUUCAUGAUUCUGAUUUGGUCAGAAGGUGCUGAUGAAUUUUCUAUAUCAGCAGCUCUGACAGUACUGUAGUUCCCCACUGUAAAAAUCAAACGGUCUGUAUUAAUGUGCUCGUUCUAAUGUUAGCAUUUCUGCAGUAACAACUCGUUAACAAUGACCGUAUAAUUGUUGGCAUGAGGACACUUUCUUUAAAGAGAUGUUUAUUUCUUCAUUCUUCUUCCUCCAGACGUACCGCUGAUCCAUCAUGCAGAAAAGUUCCAAGUUUUGUUUCAUCGCUCCACAGAAAAAAAUCCUAAAACUUCUGUGGUUUAUUUAUAUGACUUUGAGCCGACUUUUCUUGUGCUUUUGGGUCAGUAGUGGUGUACGUCUUGGAGUUCUGGCAUGGAAACCUUCUGCGUUUAGUACAUGCCUUACUGUGCUCACUGAAACCUCGGUGUCUGUUGCUACCAAGUCUUGCUGCAAGUCUUUUGCAGUCACUCCAGGGUUUUUCACAACAUCAUCUCAGAAAUCUGCUUGCAGCUGUUGAUAGCUUCCUUUUUCUGCCCUGUUCAGUUUUUAGUACUCGUCUGUAUGUGUACCUGAUCCAGCCUGGUCUGCAAGGUGACCCUGGCUCCAGCCCCAGGAAUGCGACUGAGCGCUGCCUCGAUCUGUGGGAAAGAACUGAAAUAAAUAUUUUGACAUUGAGGCAUCAGAAAGUGAACAAAGUGGCCGGUGAUGGGUGACAGCUGGAACAACAUAGCUUUGAAUUAGCACUUCUCAGCUUUAAUAGGCAGGAGGGAAAGACUCUGGGCUAAAAUUAGAGAUUAUAAAUUAGAACAGAACUGGCAGGUUACGUAGGGGAAAUGUACAGAGAUGAUGUGCUGAGAUGGACUGGAGCCAUGGCGCUGAAGACAGAGCCAGUGGGUGAGACGUGCUGAUGUGCUUUUGGGCCAUGUGUUCAGUCUCAGUAUGAGCCUAACCAGUCACAGGGAGCCGUAACACUUUGCCACUCACCAGAUUGUUGGGGGAAGUAUAACAGAACAGAAACAAUGACUUCACGAACAGCAAACCUCUCUAAAUAUUAGCGGAUGGAAAUGAAACUCUGUCAAACUUAUUUUGAUGCUAUCGGGAUCUUAUGUUAUUUUUCCCAGUACACAGUGACGGCCGAUCAGAAUAUUGAACGGCAAAAAUGUUGUAUUUUAUGCCUAUUCUGAGCACGGGUUCUCGACAUAGGCAAAAAACUAUUACACGUGAACACCCCCACUGAAAAAUCUACCUCUCCUUCAUGUUGACAGCAUUUUUAUUUAUUGUGCUUUCUCAAUCACUGAAAUUGAUUAGCGGUCUUUCACCAAGUGUAGUCACUUGACAUGACGGUCACUGAUAGGCUGUGUGAAUGUAUAGUCUGGGCUAGAAAAUGAAAAAUAAAAAAAUCAGCCCCAUAAUCUCCUUCACAGCAUUCUGUAUAUGUUUUACUUACGACCAUUGGUAGUGCUCUUCUUCUUGGUUCCCCAAAAGUAAAAAAGGAAAUAAAAAAACAAUCCACUUUAAGCCAUUAACAGCAGAUAAGAUGAUGUAGAUGUCCAAAACUGAGCCUUUAUAUUGCUACUGUUUUUUUAUUUGAAAGAGAGGCCCAUUUAUACCAGGUGGCUGUGCUGGUACGUCAUGUUGAUUAAAACUUGACUGUCCCGAUCAAAAGGGCAAAUAAACGGCAAUGGCCAUGGUGUUGUUAUGAAUUAGGUGCCACGUGCUAUGUUAGCUGCUGUGUCCUAAUCCGUAAAAUCCACAGACAGCUUUCAAAACAUUACUACUCAUUCAUACACAUCCCAGCUCUCUCUGUAUAUACACACACAAAUACACAUAUACACUACCGGGUAAAAGUUUGGAGACACUCGACUGAAAUGUUUCUCAUGAUCUUAAAAACCUUUUGAUCUGAAGGUGUACGAUCAAAUGUUUGAAAUCGGUGUCAUAGACAAAAAUAUAAUCGUGCCAACAUAUUCAUUUCUUUCAUUAGAAAACUAACAUUUUAUUUGCAAAAAAAAAAAAAGAUAAGAUUUUUUUAAAUGGAUGACUCGGAGCUAAAUAUUCAGAAAAGCAGUCGAUAAGUGCCCAGCGUAGGUGGGAACUCCUUUAAUAGUGUUUAAAAAGCAUUUCAGGGAAAUUCCUCAAGAAAUCGGCUGAGAAAAUGCUAAGAAUACAUUUCUGGAAAUUCUAGGCAAAAAAGGGCAUCUACUUUGAGGAUGCUAAAAUAUUUCAUAAUUUAUUUUGGAUGUGUUUUUUUUUUUUUCACAACAUUCCAGAGUUUUGAUGACUUUAUUAUUAUUCUAAAAUGAGAGGGGGGAAAUUUAUAUAUAUAUAUUUUUUGAUUGCCUAGCAUAAAGAAAGCCAAAAAUGAGGAAAAGAGUGAAUUCCGGGCUCACCUG